rnacentral:ncRNA from 2 species
CGCCCCACCUCGGGGUGCCCGUCAUGGGCUGAGAUGCGCGACUGCGCGGACCCGUUGAACCUGAACCGGCUCACACCGGCGGAGGGAAGGUCGCGAGAUUCUCC